UCUGGGUCUAUAUCGGCAUGUUUAGUGGCUUGACAUGAGCAUGGUCUGAAUGCAUAUGGACUCGGGCCAAGAUUGAUGAUUUACCUAAAUGGACGGACCCAACACCACCCGUUUAUUAAAUGUUCUGACUAUAAACAGGUCAGACCAACUCGACACAGCCCGUUUAACACCUCUAGUUUUGAUACUCACACAAUAGAAGAGAGAGAACAAUUUGGUUUUGUUGUUUGCUUGCGCAACCAUAAGGCCUAUUUGGUGAUAAUUUUAUAGUUGCUAGGAUAUCUUGACUUAUUUUUGGGGAGUUCGAUUAUGUAAUUGGAUAAAAUGAUGUAUAAAAGUUAAUGGAACUCAUUCUUAUAGAACUCCGGCCUACUUAUUUUUCUUAAGUAUUUUCUAAGUUAAAACUUCUCCU
rnacentral:lncRNA from 1 species